rnacentral:tmRNA from 1 species
GGGGCUGACUAGUAUCGACAGGAAAUCGUCGAUAAGUCGGUGCAUGCGGAGGUGGUGGCGAGGCCUCCUAAAAAACGUCACACAACAUAAUGCUGAUAACAUCAGCUGGAACGAAAGAGCUGCUGGUCCCAUUGGGAUCCCCAGCUUGAACGUUCUUCCUAUCGCUGCCUAAUUUAGGUACAGCGACAUCUCAUGAUGAUUUAUCCUUGGAUCAUGUGGGAUGACAAACGCAAGGAUAGUCCCGAACUUUGCUUUUGAGGUUUUGGGAUGAAGUCUUGUCAAAAGCUCGUUUAGCGGGAUCUUGUCUUUGAGAGCUUGCUAAAUAAAAACAAAACAAAGAACAAGCAUGUAGUGCCACUUAUGGUCAUUUCGCUGGACGCCGGUGCAAUUCCGGCCAGCUCCAUUC